AAAACCUUGUGUUAAUGUGUGGCUGUCGGCUAGUGCAUUGGUAAACUAGCUGGCAGUCACACGUAUUAAUAAACGCGUGCAGAUUGUAUUUAAGGGUGCAGCUUUCCCUGCUCUGGGCGGCUGUACGGAGGAGAACGAGAGGGAGAGGUUAAUUUAAAGGAACUGAAGAUACUACCAUCCUGCCAACCAACAGCAAUGAAAGCUUUGGCAUGGAGGCUAAAGACUUGGCCAUCUUCUGCUGAGAGUGAGAGGGGCUUUAGCUUGAUGAAGCACAAAUGACAACAAGCAGAGCCUGCCUUAGCCUGGAAACAGAGAGGGAUCUAGUGUUCAUAGCAAUGCAUGGGCCUCCACUACAUCUGGCACAUCUGCAGAAAUAUACAACAUCCUGGUUAAGACAAGGACCACAUGCAACGACGGACGCAGCAGGACGCAGACCUUCCCCACAAGAACCUCAUUGCAUAUGAAGCUUUUCAAAAGUGUGCCCAAUUAUCAUCUGUAUCCUCGGCUCACCGCUCGCACCCCCCACACUGACUCGGGAAACGGAGGCUGGAGCGCGUAUCCUCCAAAACACGCGCCUGCCAAUCCAUCACUUUCCACACUGCGGAUCCACAGCGAGGCCACCAGACCUAUAGUGCCGGAGGAAACACAGAUCUGGAGGCUCCACUGCAGA